GGUUAAGCGACUAAGCGUACACGGUGGAUGCCCCCGGCAGUCAGAGGCGAUGAAGGACGUGCUAAUCUGCGAAAAGCGUCGGUAAGGUGAUAUGAACCGUUAUAACCGGCGAUGUCCGAAUGGGGAAACCCAGUGCAAUUCGUUGCACUAUCGUUAACUGAAUACAUAGGUUAACGAGGCGAACCGGGGAACUGAAACAUCUAAGUACCCCGAGGAAAAGAAAUCAACCGAGAUUCCCCCAGUAGCGGCGAGCGAACGGGGAGCAGCCCAGAGUCUGAAUCAGCUUGUGUGUUAGUGGAACGGUCUGGAAAGUCCGACGGUACAGGGUGAUAGUCCCGUACACCAAAAUGCACAGGCUGUGAACUCGAAGAGUAGGGCGGGACACGUGGUAUCCUGUCUGAAUAUGGGGGACCAUCCUCCAAGGCUAAAUACUCCUGACUGACCGAUAGUGAACCAGUACCGUGAGGGAAAGGCGAAAAGAACCCCGGCGAGGGAGUGAAAAAGAACCUGAAACCGUGUACGUACAAGCAGUGGGAGCACCUUCGGGUGUGACUGCGUACCUUUGUAUAAUGGGUCAGCGACUUAUAUUCUGUAGCAAGGUUAACCGUAUAGGGGAGCCGCAGGAAACCGAGUCUUAACUGGGCGUUAAGUUGCAGGGUAUAGACCCGAAACCCGGUGAUCUAGCCAUGGGCAGGUUGAAGGUUGGGUAACACUAACUGGAGGACCGAACCGACUAAUGUUGAAAAAUUAGCGGAUGACUUGUGGCUGGGGGUGAAAGGCCAAUCAAACCGGGAGAUAGCUGGUUCUCCCCGAAAGCUAUUUAGGUAGCGCCUCGUGAACUCAUCUUCGGGGGGUAGAGCACUGUUUCGGCUAGGGGUCAUCCCGACUUACCAACCCGAUGCAAACUACGAAUACCGAAGAAUGUUAUCACGGGAGACACACGGCGGGUGCUAACGUCCGUCGUGAAGAGGGAAACAACCCAGACCGCCAGCUAAGGUCCCAAAGUCAUGGUUAAGUGGGAAACGAUGUGGGAAGGCACAGACAGCCGGGAUGUUGGCUUAGAAGCAGCCAUCAUUUAAAGAAAGCGUAAUAGCUCACUGGUCGAGUCGGCCUGCGCGGAAGAUGUAACGGGGCUAAACCAUGCACCGAAGCUGCGGCAGCGACACUAUGUGUUGUUGGGUAGGGGAGCGUUCUGUAAGCCUGCGAAGGUGUGCUGUGAGGCAUGCUGGAGGUAUCAGAAGUGCGAAUGCUGACAUAAGUAACGAUAAAGCGGGUGAAAAGCCCGCUCGCCGGAAGACCAAGGGUUCCUGUCCAACGUUAAUCGGGGCAGGGUGAGUCGACCCCUAAGGCGAGGCCGAAAGGCGUAGUCGAUGGGAAACAGGUUAAUAUUCCUGUACUUGGUGUUACUGCGAAGGGGGGGACGGAGAAGGCUAUGUUAGCCGGGCGACGGUUGUCCCGGUUUAAGCAUGUAGGCUGAUUGUCCGAGGCAAAUCCGGAUAAUCAAGGCUGAGGUGUGAUGACGAGGCACUACGGUGCUGAAGUAACAAAUGCCCUGCUUCCGAGGAAAAGCCUCUAAGCAUCAGGUAACAUCAAAUCGUACCCCAAACCGACACAGGUGGUCAGGUAGAGAAUACCAAGGCGCUUGAGAGAACUCGGGUGAAGGAACUAGGCAAAAUGGUGCCGUAACUUCGGGAGAAGGCACGCUGGUGUGUAGGUGAAGUCCCUGCGGAUGGAGCUGAGACCAGUCGAAGAUACCAGCUGGCUGCAACUGUUUAUUAAAAACACAGCACUGUGCAAACACGAAAGUGGACGUAUACGGUGUGACGCCUGCCCGGUGCCGGAAGGUUAAUUGAUGGGGUUAUCCGUAAGGAGAAGCUCUUGAUCGAAGCCCCGGUAAACGGCGGCCGUAACUAUAACGGUCCUAAGGUAGCGAAAUUCCUUGUCGGGUAAGUUCCGACCUGCACGAAUGGCGUAAUGAUGGCCGGGCUGUCUCCACCCGAGACUCAGUGAAAUUGAACUCGCUGUGAAGAUGCAGUGUACCCGCGGCAAGACGGAAAGACCCCGUGAACCUUUACUAUAGCUUGACACUGAACAUUGAGCCUUGAUGUGUAGGAUAGGUGGGAGGCUUUGAAGCGUGGACGCCAGUCUGCGUGGAGCCAACCUUGAAAUACCACCCUUUAAUGUUUGAUGUUCUAACGUUGGCCCCUGACCGGGGUUGCGGACAGUGUCUGGUGGGUAGUUUGACUGGGGCGGUCUCCUCCCAAAGCGUAACGGAGGAGCACGAAGGUUAGCUAAUCCUCGGUCGGACAUCAGGAGGUUAGUGCAAUGGCAUAAGCUAGCUUGACUGCGAGCGUGACGGCGCGAGCAGGUGCGAAAGCAGGUCAUAGUGAUCCGGUGGUUCUGAAUGGAAGGGCCAUCGCUCAACGGAUAAAAGGUACUCCGGGGAUAACAGGCUGAUACCGCCCAAGAGUUCAUAUCGACGGCGGUGUUUGGCACCUCGAUGUCGGCUCAUCACAUCCUGGGGCUGAAGUAGGUCCCAAGGGUAUGGCUGUUCGCCAUUUAAAGUGGUACGCGAGCUGGGUUUAGAACGUCGUGAGACAGUUCGGUCCCUAUCUGCCGUGGGCGCUGGAGAAUUGAGGGGGCUGCUCCUAGUACGAGAGGACCGGAGUGGACGCAUCACUGGUGUUCGGGUUGUCAUGCCAAUGGCACUGCCCGGUAGCUAAAUGCGGAAGAGAUAAGUGCUGAAAGCAUCUAAGCACGAAACUUGCCCCGAGAUGAGUUCUCCCUGAGACUUUAAGUCUCCUGAAGGAACGUUAAAGACGAUGACGUUGAUAGGCCGGGUGUGUAAGCGCAGCGAUGCGUUGAGCUAACCGGUACUAAUGAACCGUGAGGCUUAACCUU
rnacentral:rRNA from 1 species